AUGGAGUUUUCAAAUACUAUAACCUGUAGUCAUUACAACAAUAAGCAGAAAAUACUUCUAGUUGGAGAAGGAGACUUCUCCUUUUCUUUAUGUCUAGCCAAGGCUUUUGGUUCGGCUACUAACAUCACUGCAACUUCUCUUGAUACUCGAGAGGAGUUAGAGCAGAAGUACAAGGAUGCCAAGAAUAACGUAGAAGAGUUGGAGCGACGUGGGUGCACCGUGAUUCAUGGUGUUAAUGUUCACUCCAUGGAUAAAGAUCAUCGCGUAGUCCGGUCGAUUGUGUAUGAUAGAAUCAUAUUCAAUUUCCCUCAUGCAGGGUUUCAUUUUGGUCGCGAGACUGAUAGCUACACCAUCUUGUAUGUAAAUCUUGUUUCUUUGGUAUAUAUUUUGAUUUGUUGGUGUUCCAUUUUUGGUUUAUUAAACAAGUUUAUGCGGACGUAGGCAACACCAAGAAGUGGUGAAAGGCUUUUUCCUAAGUGCCAAAGAGUUGGUUGAUGCCAGUGGAGAGAUUCAUGUGACCCAUAAGAUAGCACAUCCAUUUACCAGUUGGAAUAUCAAGACUCUUGGUGAAGAAAAGGGUUUGAAUUGUGUCAGAGAAAAAGAAUUUUAUACGUUUCAAUAUCCAGGUUACUCCAACAAGAGGGGAAGUGGAAUUGACUGUGACUCUAGCUUCCCUGUUGGAUUAUCUUCGACUUUCAUGUUUAAGAAGAAGCCCUGGUAUGAAAGUGUGUUCUUGGGCAGGUUCAUUUGAGUUUUAUUCAUAUGUGUGGGCUAGAAACGAAGCCGAGCCUAAGAAGGCUUCUGCAUCUCUUUAAAUUUUCUGCAAUUUCAAUAAAAAAUCAUAUUAACGAAUUGUUGAUUGAUUAUUUAAUCGUGGGAAUCUAUCAAACAACUAAAAUUGAUGAGUUUCCUUCCUAGUCAUCCCUAUAUGUUUAU